UACAGAGGUCUCAAGCGUUGUUCGGAUUCAUUGGGCGUAAAGGGUGUGUAGGUGGCGCCGUAAGUCGGGUGUGAAAAUUUCGGAGCUUAACUCCGAAACUGCAUUCGAUACUGCGGUGCUUGAGGACUGGAGAGGAGACUGGAAUUCAUGGUGUAGCAGUGAAAAUGCGCAGAUAUCAGGAGGAACACCGAUGGCGAAGGCAGGUCUCUGGGCCACUACUGACGCUGAGAAGCGAAAGCAUGGGGAGCGAACAGG
rnacentral:rRNA from 1 species